rnacentral:ncRNA from 2 species
GCGUCACAUCAAGAGUUGGGGCGACGCCCAACGCCAACCUGCCUUUCCGGGCAAGGUGGUACUUCCUAAAAUGGAAGGAUGUGGCCAACCGGCAAAUAUACGGAUCAAG